UGUAACCUGAGACUGUAGGGGAGGAUGACAGCCACGGUGGGGAAUCAGCUGUACACAGCUCACUGCAGCCUGCCCUUUUUUGGUCUACAAAGCCCUUCUGUUCUGCUAUAGCAGGUCUCCCUCUCUGCUGUGAAACCUACUGGGAGGUCCCACCCCUUUCCAACCUGCCUUUCAUCCCACACCUUCCCCCACCCCCCAUGCACACCAUCCAGAGAUACCAAAGCCACCUAUAGGGCUCAGGGUGGCUCUAAGUACACUUUCAGGAUCAGCUUCGUCUUCUGUUACAUGCCUUGUUUCCUCGUGGGAGCAAAUGGGUGGAUUACAACUUCUGGUUGGAGAACACAAUCCUUUUGCCAGCAGCAUCUAUGCACUGUUUCUGUCACCCUGCGACAGGACUAACAGUAUGCAUCUGGCAAAACUACUAGCUGAAGUUACUGGUGCAAUGAGCAAACAUGGAAGAAUUUCUCUCUCUGUGAUGCUAAGUGGCUUGCUCAAGUUUGGAAACUGUGACCCUGGUCUGUCAGCAACAUGCUUUACUCAACUGAAAUAACCAUGCUGCCAUUGUGGUGGGAUGAGGGAGAGGGGGGAGUGAGAAGGGGAAUGAGGGCAAUUAUAUACAUCAUUAAAAUACCAUGACAUAAAGUGAAAAUGUCUGUUAAUACAUCUGAGGCUUGAAAAUCAUUAAUCAUAGCUAUUAAAACUGUAUUAAACUAUUA